rnacentral:rRNA from 1 species
AGAACGAUGGCUGGCUGUGCCUAAUACAUGCAGUCGAGCGAAUGGAUUAAGAGCUUGCUCUUAUGAAGUUAGCGGCGGACGGGUGAGUAACACGUGGGUAACCUGCCCAUAAGACUGGGAUAACUCCGGGAAACCGGGGCUAAUACCGGAUAACAUUUUGAACCGCAUGGUUCGAAAUUGAGGGCGGCGUCUUCGGCUGUCACUUAUGGAUGGACCCGCGUCGCAUUAGCUAGUUGGUGAGGUAAACGGCUCACCAAGGCAACGAUGCGUAGCCGACCUGAGAGGGUGAUCGGCCACACUGGGACUGAGACACGGCCCAGACUCCUACGGGAGGCAGCAGUAGGGAAUCUUCCGCAAUGGACGAAAGUCUGACGGAGCAACGCCGCGUGAGUGAUGAAGGCUUUCGGGUCGUAAAACUCUGUUGUUAGGGAAGAACAAGUGCUAGUUGAAUAAGCUGGCACCUUGACGGUACCUAACCAGAAAGCCACGGCUAACUACGUGCCAGCAGCCGCGGUAAUACGUAGGUGGCAAGCGUUAUCCGGAAUUAUUGGGCGUAAAGCGCGCGCAGGUGGUUUCUUAAGUCUGAUGUGAAAGCCCACGGCUCACCGUGGAGGGUCAUUGGAAAACUGGGAGACUUGAGUGCAGAAGAGGAAAGUGGAAUUCCAUGUGUAGCGGUGAAAUGCGUAGAGAUAUGGGAGGAACACCAGUGGCGAAGGCGACUUUCUGGUCUGUAACUGACACUGAGGCGCGAAAGCGUGGGG